AAUAGAGCUGAAUGAUCGUUUCCUAAAUCCAGCGUGAUUCUUGCUUUCGUUUAGGAGAGCUUUUGGUGGCGUUCGUGUGCCACAGACAUCCUGCACUCUAAAUAUCUCCUGAUCCUCUAGCAAAGAAACGUCUGUUGGUGUUCAGUGGGUUCUGUGCAUGUACGGCAUAGGCAUACUUAGUUCCUACUUCACAUUUACUUUAUGGAGAUGCAGGCUCAAUGCUUCUGCUCAGCUCUGCAUUUUGACAGAGUCCUCUCUUGCAGCUCAACUGCGGGGGGACCUUCAAAAUGAAGCUAACAAGUAAAAUAUGCUUUGAAAUGGAGUGCAGAUGGGAAGUGUCGAAGUGUUGUGUUGCACAACAGCCUGCUCUGCCUGUGUGUGCUGCGCUGCUCACACAACUCUUGGUUUUAUGUGUCCGCGAUCUGAACCCCGUGCUGCUCAGAAAUAGCAUGUGGUAGUACCUCGACCAGCAGCAGCUCUGGUGAGAAGGGCUGAUUCCUCUCUGUCCUGACAACAUUUCUGACACCUCUGGGCAGCACAUUUGUUAGAAAUGUUCCCCAGAGGGGAGGAGAAUGUGGCAGACUUCGGUCUGAAUCUGAUCAGCAGUCCUUGAGCUGUGACUGUGGGGAGCGGAGCACAAGGUCUAACUUUCUGAAGCUUUCAGUGCUCUUCUUUGAAUCCAAAGGAAUGGAAACAUCAUGGAAUUUUCCUCCAAGUGAUGGGUGUGGAGCUGUUAUAGUGGCUGUAGCUCUAACUAUGGACAUUUGAAUUGUCUGCCAUGGGACAGUGUCCCCUGUGUACAUGCAGAGAAUUUCCUCCUUGCAUGCAGUUUGCCCUGGGACUGUCCCUGGGAAGAGGACAGCCUCUGGAGGGCUGUGGUGGCCCAGGGCUGCUCUCUGGUCAUCUGGAGCCUUUCCCUUGAGGCUGAACUCUGGCAUGUCUCUGAAAGCCUAUCUGGUCUGUAGUUCACUGCAGAAGGAGAAAAAAAGAAGCUUCUGAGCAGAUGAUACAUCUUACAAGGUCUGCUUUUAGUGUCUUACCAUGCUUUGUGCCUGCUAUGACCGCAGAGCCACCACAAGCCCUCCGGGGCUGAGCUGAAUUAUUUUCUGCCUUAUGUACCACCAAGAGAAACAUCAACUACGAGAGGUUACAGCUGCAGAACUUGUGUGUGCCGCGUGUCUCGUUCAGAUAUUAUUUCCUUAAUAAAAUUGCUCAUUUGGUGUAAA